UGAAAAUAAAAUACAUAACCAAAAGAGUCAUUUUCUAGCCUUCAACCUAACAUCCUAAGAGAAACAUAGCAAAUAGCAUGAGCAACUCUCUUAUUACACUCUAGCUUCUCAAGGCCUAUCAAGACUCUUAUGCCUCAACACAAGUCAUUUACUCAUCAAUCAACAAGUUCCUUAGCCAACCCUCACAUUUAUUAAAGCAAGCAUAUAAGGUGAGUUCUUGCAAAUGGGCACAUGAUCUCAAUCAUUUGGCUUGGUGAGUAAAAAUGAUCUAAUGUGAAGCAAGGGUUUUCAAAUGCAUCUUUUAUGGUGACUCACACUCAAGAAUAGGAGCAAGAACAUUAUGCAAAAUUUAUCUAAGAAAAGGAGCAAUUCAUGCAUACAAUGACUUGUUCUCAUCAUUCUACCCCUUUCCUAAAUGAUUUCAAGCUCUACCCUUCUUCUUUUCAUCAUCCCAAAACCCAAAGAUACACUCACUUUCACCUCUCACCCAAUGAACACAUUCUCAUUUCUUAUUUUAGCCAACUAAGAUUUUUUUUUUUAUUCACUCAGCUCUUUUAUUUUUCUUUUCCCCACUCUUUUCAUGUUUUUUUUUUCUAAAGGGGAUUCUAUUUAUAAACACAAGAGCCCUUUUUUUUAGAUCCCUAGUGGCUUUCUUUCCUUUUCUCACUCUUUUGGUUCAUUUCUUUUCACUUUCACUCACAUUCCCAAUCCCAAGAUCAAAAGAAUUGAAGUUCACAAACCCAACAACCAUCCUAGAUGCUAACCUAAAUGAGGUCCUAAUGCUAGCCAAAGAUGAGAACAACUCAUUGUCGCUCCUAAUACUCUCAAAAUUUUGCACAUGACAUACUAUCAAUAAAAGGCCUCACUCAAGCAAAUUAAUGUUGGUUUCAAAGAAUGGUGAAGGUUAAUGGGUAUGAAGUGUCAUUUGGGUUAACAAAGAUUGGUACAAAGAGAGAAAGAUAACCCAAAUGUGUAUAAUAUCCAUGAUCAAGUAUGCAAAUGCCCAUAUGCAAGAGAGAUUAAGUUCAUUAAGCCCUAGUUCAUUUGGAGUUGGUUUCAAGAACAAUGCCAAUCAUCAAGCAAACAACAUGUUUCAAGAAGAGUUUUCAAGGCUCGAAGCUUACAAGCUUUUUCAAGAGAUGCUUAAGCUACUUGAUAUGUUUAGCUAGGAUGUCAAAUUGAGUUCUAGACAUGUGUUCUUUACAAGGUUUCUCUCAAUGCAUGAAUGUAAUCUAAAUACUUCUAGACUCAAUCCUAAAGAUGCAAGUGAUGCAAAUACAUGCUUCUUUUUGUGUUUUUUUUUCAAAAUUUUCAAAUUUUUUUUUGGUUUUUCUAUGCAAA
rnacentral:lncRNA from 1 species